CUUCUGGGAGAUGUAGGAUCUUU
rnacentral:snRNA from 1 species